GAAAUAAAGAAAAUGCGAGUACUAUUCCAUGAGCAGCAUUAUUUUGAUUUUGCACUAUAAUUCUGAUAAUAAGAAACCUUUACAUCAUCAAUGUUCCUCUUCCAUAAGCAAGGACAUGUCUAAUGGAUAGUGAAUUCCUUUCUGAAAAAGGAUUGAUAAUCAACCCUUUUUUAUUUUUAUUUGAAGUUGGAAGCAGAAUCAAG
rnacentral:misc_RNA from 1 species